AGGGGCAUGGGAGGGGCCGGUGGUGCGGCUUUAGAUGGAGCUGGUACUAAGACCCAGGACUUCUGGGGCUUGAAGACCCUGGGUCUGCGGGAAGCCCCUGCUGAGCGUCCCUCGCCUACCCCGUGGCCAGUGGGUGAGUAGGGCUAGAUCUCCGCCCAUCUAGGUCCCCUUCUGCUCCAGCUCCAGCGUCUGACAUCCCAAGGAAGGAACGCAGGGUGGGGGCAUUUGAGCCGGACCUGAGCCAUCCUCAUGGUUUUCAAAAAGUAGCCUUAUUGUGGUGUAAUUGACAGACGGACAAACUUAGCCUUCCGUUCUGUUGGUCUGUGAUGACCGUUUCCACGUCCUGCUUUCUGAGAGCAUUUGCCUGGUGUAGACGUCCCCGUUUUCAGCGGUUAUGCGUCCCUCUAGUUUCGGUGAUGCCCUGAGGUUUACUUCCUGCAUUUUUAAGCCCACGUUUCCCCAGCACUCAUGUGUGGCCAGCGUCUGAUUCUUCCUCCAGAGCAAGACAGGGAAGCCACUGCACUUCAGCUGCCUUCACAAGUCUCCUCUGCCACCCCCGCUGAGGCCGUCUGGAAGUUUAAUUCUAGGCUAUUAUUAAAUUUCUAUAAAAUUGUUUCAACUUUACUGAGAUAUAAUUCACAAAUAGGAAUUGUGUAUAGUUAAGGUGUAUGACUUGAUGUUCUGAUACACGCUGUGAAUGAUCACUGCAGUCAAGCUAUUUCACAUGCUCACACCUCACAGUGACUACCAAGUUGGUGAAAAGAGUAACUGCGGUGUUUGCAAUUAGAAGCAAUUAUUUUUGCACCAACCUAAAAUAUUUUCUUUUUUUUUUUUUUUUUGUCGCCCAGCCUGGACUGCCGUGGUGAAAUCUUGGCUCACUGCAGCCUCUGCUUCCCAGGUUCAAUCAAUCUUGCCACCUCAGCCUCCCCAGUAGCUGGGACUAUGGGCACGUGCCACCAUGUCCAGCUAGUUUUUUUUGUUUUUUUUUUUUUUUGUAUUUUUAGUAGAGAUGGGGUUUCGCCAUGUUGCCCAGACUGGUCUUGAACUCCUGGCCUCAAGUGAUCCACCCACCGUCGGCCUCCCAAAGUGCUGGGAUUACAGGCAUGAGCCACCGCACCAGCUUCUUUUAUUUUCUUUGUGUGUGUUGAGAACACUUAAGAUCUAUCCUCUCAGCCCAUGUCCAGCAUCCAGUACAGCAUUGUUAACCAUGGCCACCUAGGACAGCGCUCCCCAGAAACUGAAUUUGCCAGCACCUUGAUCGUGGACUUCCAGCCUCCAGAACAGCGAGAAGAAUCGCUUCUAGGUUUUGACCAGCCGGCCUGUGGCAUUUUGCUACAACAGCCUGGGCAGCCUGCAGUGCUCUGUGCUUUGUUCUCUUUCAUUUUGUUUUGUUUUCUGUAAUUCACCUUUGAGAAACUCGUUCAGGAAGGAUGCAUGGGUGACAUUUUCUGCAUCCUCACAUUUUGUCACUGGGUGUGGCCGGGUCUGUGAGUCUAGACACAAAGCCAGUCACCUGGGGACGCUGCCACCUGAAGGCCUGCGUGGCCGGGUCUGUGACUGUAGACACAAAGCCAGUCACCUGGGGACGCUGCCACCUGAAGGCCUGCGUGGCCGGGUCUGUGACUCUAGACAAAAAGCCAGUCACCUGGGAACUCUGGGACACCCUCUUCUCUCACCCAUUGCUGUGGGGAAGCCUGGGGAUGGGUUUUCUUGUUUUGGUUUUUUAUCAUGUUGGUGUUUUGUUUUGUUUUUUUUUUGAGAUGGAGUUUCCCUCUUGUCUCCCAGGCUAGAGUGCAAUGGCGUGAUCUCGGCUCACUGCAACCUCCGCCUCCUGGGUUCAAGCGAUUCUCCUGCCUCAGCCUCCUGAGUAGCUGGGAUUACAGGCAUGCACCACCACGCCUGGCUAAUUUUUGUAUUUUUAGUAGAGACGGGGUUUCACCAUGUUGGUCAGGCUGGUCCCGAACUCCUGACUUCAGGUGAUCCACGCACCUCGGCCUCCCAAAGUGCUGAGAUUACAAGCAUGAGCCAUCGCACCCAGCCCAUAGUGGUUUUUAAAUCUUUCCUUUUGCCCUCAUUGUUCUAAAAUUUUAUGAAGAUGAAGACAUAUCUCGUGUCUCAUUCACGGAGAGCCGAUUCUGUAACAGCCGCUGCUCUGGGCGCCGGGAGAAACCGUGAGGAGCAGGCAGAGCUUCCGUCGCGGGGCCCACAGGGCCCAGGUGUGCAUUAUUUCCCUCCCAUCAAUCCUGUUCUUCUUCUGAAACUCUCAGUGUGCAGAUGUUGGAAUGUCUGGCUUCGUCCUCCAUUUCCUUUUUUUUUUUUUUCAUACUUUCCCUCUAUCUCGCUCUGCUGUGUACAAAAAAACUUGGGCAUUUUCAAGUACAAAGCAAAGGAAGCAAUAAAGCAUCCCCAGAUAUUUGAGGAAAGCUGACAUCACAAAGUGGAGAAUUCCUUGACUGUGUGUUCCAGGCACAAGUUCGUUCUUCAGCCUUUUCUUCCUGUUAUUCACCCCAUCACUUUUUAAUUUUUUUUGGAUGUCACAUUUUUCAUAUUUAUAUUUUCAGUUCCGUUUUUAAGGCUGUAUCUUCUCUAUGGAUAAAUAAACCUGUGAAGACGUACUGCCCUUUUCUCGAGGGUGUUGUUUGCUCUGCUUCCUUGAUACCUGCUGACUUUGGGGGCCCCUUUUUGGUAGUGAUUGGUUUUCCUCAAACAUUUGAUGGUUCUGGGUUGUCUAGUGAUUCCAUGAAAAUUGGUUGGCUGCAUAUUUAACCAAUUUUAGGUUAAAAUUGGUUGGCACCCAAAAUAACAGUGGCUUUAACACACAGUAUUCCCUUCUCACAUAAGAAAGGACUCUGGAGGGCGGGGCCCUAAAGAGCCUGUCACCUCCCACUCCACCACACCCGGCGGGUGCCUCAUCCUCAUGGCCCCAGAAGGC
rnacentral:lncRNA from 10 species